AUAUCAUGGUGGGGACAUCUCCUUAACAACUCCUUGAAGCACUCCCAUUCAUCGUAUAAAUACUUCCCAUCAUUCUGAUGGAAAUUAUUGAUUUUUCCUCUCAACUU